rnacentral:rRNA from 1 species
UGGGGAAUUUUGCUCAAUGGGGGAAACCCUGAAGCAGCGAUGCCGCGUGAGGGACGAAGGUCUUCGGAUUGUAAACCUCUUUUACAGACGAAAAAUGGCCUGGUGAAUAGCCAGGUCUGAUGGUACUCUGUGAAUAAGCCACGGCUAACUUCGUGCCAGCAGCCGCGGUAAGACGAAGGUGGCGAGCGUUACUCGGAAUUACUAGGCGUAAAGCGUGGGCAGGCGGUUCGGUAAGUCUGUUGUGGAAGCUCCCGGCUCAACCGGGAGAGGCCAAUGGAAACUACCGAGCUUGAAUCGAGGAGGGGUCACUGGAAUUCCCGGUGUAGCGGUGAAAUGCGUAGAGAUCGGGAGGAACAUCCAUGGCGAAGGCAGGUGACUGGACUCGUAUUGACGCUCAUCCACGAAAGCUGGGGGAUCAAACA